UCCCUGGUGGCUUAGAUGGGGAAGAAUCUGCCUGCAAUGCAGGAGACUCAGGUUCGAUCCCUGGGUUGGGAA
rnacentral:tRNA from 1 species